AAUCGAUGUAUACUCUGUCCGUCAACCAUACAGGCCUGUUCAAAAUUCUCCGCUCUUGGAUUUCGAUGUAAAUUUGAUGCUGUAACGGCCGAUUCAACGCUUUGCGAGUUAAAAAGGAAACAACAGAAACAAUCCAGAAUCUCAAGAAGUCAAGAUCCGAGAUCGGUUUAUAUGGCAGCUAUAUCAAGACAUGGACCAAUAUUGUCCAUUAACAAGCCCGAUCGAUCUACCCUGAUAGAUCGAUAGACAGACAGACAGACGGACUUGGCUGGAUCGACCUAAAACGUCAUGGCGAUUAAGAAUAUAUAUACUUAUGGGGUCUUAGACCAAGUUAGUUUACCCCAAUUCUUCGGUGGUGGGUAUAAAAAUGUCUAUCUUUAAUGGUAAUUUAAUGCAUCCUUAAUUUUGCAUAUCAUUUCUAUAGGCAAAGGGGAAAUUAGGAAAUUGACUUUGGGUCGUCGUUUGGGACUUUAGAGUCGUCUGUGAAGUAAAAUUAACAAUAGUCAGCAAUCGAAAUUCAAAUCGGAAGGUUAUGUUCUUCUAGUAUAUAGCGACAUUAGUUUAAAGAUACCAUUUUUAUUUUGAAGAUUCGUUUCUUUGGCUCGCAAUCAUUAUCAAAAUCCUUAGAUUAAGUACAACAUUUUUAUGUCCGAGUGAACUUGUUUUUGAGUGUACUGUUUUGCUAUUUUGUUUUAUGAAAAACCUUCGAACUUUGUGCCAAUUUAAUAAUUUUUCGUAGUCAUAAUUUCUCUCACAACUGUCUGUCGUUUUGCAAGCUCAACUGCAAUGCGUCGAACUGCAAAUUGUUGCAAUUGUAUAAAGGCCUACUCAACGGCCUGCGAAAACUGUUAGACUCUGCUCAAAACAUUCGCAAACUUGUUGAUGAAAGAAAAAUAAGUACAAGCUGCGAGUAGUAAAUUUCGCCAUAGGUAUAUUUAUGACUUGUUUCUGAUUGCGAAUGAAACACAUUUUCAUGAAAAUAUCAAACAUAGCGAGAUGUCCUUUUUUGUUGGAAAAAACCUUAAUGAUUUUCACAUCGUAGAAAUGUGAAUAAAAACAAGUAAAAGC
rnacentral:sRNA from 1 species